GGGGGUGGAUGGAGUCUGGUGGCUUCCCUGGUCUUCAAAACCAGUGUGACCUGACUGCGUCGGGUCGGGUGGGUUCGAUUCCCAUACACUCCCGCCA
rnacentral:tRNA from 1 species